rnacentral:rRNA from 1 species
UACAGAGGGCCCAAGCGUUGUUCGGAUUCACUGGGCGUAAAGGGUGCGUAGGCGGUCAGGUAAGUCUGAUGUGAAAUCUCUGGGCUUAACCCAGAAAUGGCAUUGGAUACUAUUUGGCUUGAGUGUUGGAGGGGGGACUGGAAUUCUUGGUGUAGCAGUGAAAUGCGUAGAUAUCAAGAGGAACACCAGUGGCGAAGGCGAGUCCCUGGACAUCUUCUGACGCUGAGGCACGAAAGCUAGGGGAGCAAACAGG